rnacentral:rRNA from 1 species
UACAGAGGUCUCAAGCGUUGUUCGGAUUCAUUGGGCGUAAAGGGCGCGUAGGCUGCGGGGCAAGUCGGGUGUGAAAUCUCAGAGCUCAACUCUGAAACUGCACUCGAUACUGCUUUGCUUGAGGACUGGAGAGGAGAUUGGAAUUCCCGGUGUAGCGGUGAAAUGCGUAGAGAUCGGGAGGAACACCAGUGGCGAAGGCGGCUACCUGGACCAGCACUGACACUGAGGCACGAAAGCGUGGGGAGCAAACAGG